GGAAGUAAGAGUCGUAACAAGGUUUCCGUAGGUGAACCUGCGGAAGGAUCAUUAUCGAAAUACUUAUUUAGCGUUCCGUGCUAUCCCAUUGUUUUAUUUACCCUGUUGCUUCCACUGGAUGAGUUUCCAUACCUUGUGUUUGAGAAACUUUGGCUUGUGUAAGAUUCAUUCACGGCCAGCCAGUGAGAAGACCAUUUACAAAACCCUGUUAAGAACCAAUUGUCUGAAUAUUUUACUCCAAUGAAAUAAAACUUUCAACAACGGAUCUCUAGGCUCUU
rnacentral:misc_RNA from 1 species